rnacentral:tRNA from 2 species
UCCCUGGUGGUCCAGUGGUUAGGACUCGGCUUUCAUUGCCGUGGCCCAGGUUCAAUCCCUGGUUGGGGAA